UACGUAGGGGGCAAGCGUUGUCCGGAAUUAUUGGGCGUAAAGAGCGCGUAGGCGGUCCGAUAAGUCGGCUGUGAAAGUCAGGGGCUCAACCCUUGAAAGCCGGCCGAUACUGUCGGACUAGAGUCCGGAAGAGGCAAGUGGAAUUCCUGGUGUAGCGGUGAAAUGCGCAGAUAUCAGGAGGAACACCAAUGGCGAAGGCAGCACUCUGGGACGUGACUGACGCUGAGACGCGAAAGCGCGGGGAGCAAACAGG
rnacentral:rRNA from 1 species